rnacentral:lncRNA from 1 species
GUCUUUUAGAACAAAUGUGCCUCCCACUAUUUUCUCGAAUUCCUCACACUCCCCUGGUAGGAAAACGGAAAUCCCACACGACUAGGGUUUCUAGUGGGUACUGCGGUCCCACCGAUUUACAUGCCACCUCACCUAACAGUUAUUGAUGACACAUAGAUUGAUGAAUGUACAACUCUUGUACAAUGCUUCUCAAGCAUGUUGCAGUGUAACUUGGUCUCUAAGCCAUGAAAACCUCACCUAACAGUUAUUGGUCCCAUUUCUUAGUUAAGUCAGACCCACCGUAUAACCGUAGGAAUAAAGUCGUCAUUGGGUCCUCACCUAACAGUUAUUGGUGCCCAACCCCACCUUUACCCUACAACAUCUCAUGUCUAUAGAGAGGUCC